rnacentral:rRNA from 1 species
CAAUAGCGUAUAUUUAAGUUGCUGCAGUUAAAAAGCUCGUAGUUGGAUUUCGGGUGGGAAUGGCCGGUCCGCCGUUUCGGUGUGCAUUUGCUACGCCCACCUUGCUGCCGGGGACGUGCUCUUGAGUUCACGCUCGGGACACGGAGUCGGCGAGGUUACUUUGAGUAAAUUAGAGUGUUCAAAGCAGGCCUACGCUCUGAAUACAUUAGCAUGGAAUAACACGAUAGGACUCUGGCCUAUCUUGUUGGUCUGUAGGACCGGAGUAAUGAUUAAGAGGGACAGUCGGGGGCAUUCGUAUUUCAUUGUCAGAGGUGAAAUUCUUGGAUUUAUGAAAGACGAACUACUGCGAAAGCAUUUGCCAAGGAUGUUUUCAUUAA